UAUACACAAUAGCAUGAUUUUUUAAUAUAAUUCAUUUUAUACAGUGUCUGAAAAAAGCAGUACUACUCGUCGGCCAGUAACUCCUAUCACAUCUGAUGAUGAUGACGCUGUGGAAGCAGGUCCAUCAAAAGAAGUAUGGAGCAGCAGAAGUGGCACUUCUGUAAGACAUCACCACAAAAAACCUGUGGCCGAAAAGAAAGCAAGGUCGUAUGUCCCGGCACAAACACAGCAGGCUACCCCGCCACGAAGAUUAUCGUCCGUAUGUUCUGUACCCCCACUCCAAAUUUUGGACACACCUCCAAGACGUCAUCCACACUCCCCUCAUCUUGAUUCUUCGAGUCCUGGGAACAGCAUCCCUCCACAACAACACCAACACAGUGACAUGGAGGA